rnacentral:rRNA from 1 species
AACCUGCGGAAGGUCAUUA